GCUCGCCUCUUCCGAGCAGCCGGGGUGAGGCCAGCGGCUCGUUGCCUCUCGGGAAGCCCCAGGCAGCCGGGCUCCGAGCCCCUCUCCCCAGCGCCCCGGGGAGGUGACAUGGCACUUCCUUCGGCCCUUUCUCCCCCCGGCGGCAGCGCCUCGGCCGGCGGGACGAGGCGGAGGCGGAGGCCGUGGUCGCGGCCGGGGGGCCGGGCGCAGGAUGCCCACACACCUACAUAACCACCCACCCACCGUCCACGCCGCCGCCCGCGGGUCCCGGUCUCGGCUGGCGGGCGGGAAGCGGGGCGGGCGCCCUCCGCUGGCCGCCGCGGGGCCGGGAGCGGGGCCGGGAGCGGGGCCGGGAGCGGGGCCGGGAGCGGGGCCGGGAGCGGGGCCGGGAGCGGGGCCGGGAGCGGGGCCGGGAGCGGGGCCGGGAGCGGCUCCCGCCGGCGCCGCCUGCCCGCGGCAGUGCCCGGGGUAAGCGGAGAGGGGAGCGAGGGAAGCUUGCGCUGACCCGGGAGCCCACCCGCCCGCCGUGGAUAAAUCCACGAGUAAAAAUCUUGGGCUUUCAACGCCGCCCGCCAGGCAGCACUAAUGGCGGCUUUGUAGCCCUGAGAAGGUUGAUUUUGGACCUGUGUUGUAACCUUAUUUCCUUCUCCUUUUGUUCCUGGCUGGAGAGCCUAUGUGAUCUCUGGACCUAGCUCAUCAUUUUGCCUUCUCUGGGACUAUUGGAGGGCCCUGUUACCAGACUACCAGUAAGUAGUGUGAUCUAUGUACUGUGUUCAGAUGUGGGACUGUGCCUUGGUCAGCACAGGCACUGCCUGCACUGAGUCAUCCUCGGCCUGUGGCUUUCCCUCCCUUAGGGGAGCAGCUGGCCCUUACUGCUUCUUGGCACAAGGCAACGUUGCCCACUAUUGUUACCACCCACCCCGAAGACUUUCCAUAGUGGACAAAUAAUGAACGCCAAAAACCAGUGAAAUCAUCAAGGCUGAUGCUCAUCCCUCAGAAGGAUACUGGGAGGAACGUGAAUGUCAGAGAACAGCAUGACAAGCCAUAACAAUCACAAGACCAAAUGUGUAGCCUCUGUGAUGCAAAUUAUAUUUAACCAGCUCUGGGGACUGAAUAUGGAUUGGUGUUUUGUGGGCUUGGACCCUAGCAGGCUGUAAUCGUUGUCAGGAUUAGACAACCCAUGUUAGACACACAGCACCUGAAUGAACACAGACCUAAGCUGCAAAUACUAGAACAGAUCAGUGAAGAAUCGACCAAGAAUUUUCUUGACCAAGUUUUUUAAAGGAUAAACUACUAAAUACAUAUUAUCUAUGCUGUAAGCAAAAUCUAAUUUCUGUUUUGCAUAGACUGUUUUGUGAUGUCUUAGAAGAAGAAAGUCCUCAGCUCUAACUCCUGGUGCACAGUCGGACUCAAACUUCUUUAAAAGCAAAUGUGAGAUCUUUGUUUCAGCUUUGACCAGCAGAUGGGUCUGAGUUUACAAAGUUAAUUUAAGUCAGUUUGGAUUCCAUAUUCUUAUUUGGUUUCAUUACUCUAUUGCUAAUUAUAAUAAAUUAUAAAUAGGAGCUUUCUAGGACUUGAUUUAGAUCUACAGGUUUGGGGUUUUUUUUCCACAUUGUUUUUCUUAGUGAAGAUGGUAAAAGCAUGCUAGUUUUUCUCAUUCCACUUCUUCACUGAAGCUUCUUAAGAAAAUGAGAUACAAUAAAUCCAUUUAGGAUUAUGUUGAAAAAGCAUUUCUGCUUUUAAUAUUAGCCAUAUUUUUACUGCUAAGUUUUGCUGGCAAAUCUCUGAAAGUUUCAGCUUGCAACUUAUCCGGAUCACUUAAAUCUACAACACUGGCUUUGCAGCCUUGCAAGAACAUCUGUUUUGAUUUCCAGUGCUAUCUUUUUUAGUCCUAGAACACUCUUCUUUAGUGUGAGUGAGAUUUUUUCAGAAUCUUAAAGGGCCUUAGUUUUAACUCCAAAACAUAAUGAAUAUCAGGAGGAAGUACCUCAGUGUAAUGUUUCUUGUGUUAGUACUUUCACUGAAUAUAUUGUGUAAAUGGAUAAAGAAAUAGCUGGAUGUUCAAGUCACACUUUUCUAUGGCUUUAGUGAAACCUGGCAAUACAGUAGCAUUAUGCACUACAUCUCUUAUUAUGCUCUUAUUGAAGCAUAGUUUAUGUUUAUAUAUCUUUAUAUAUAUAUCUUUAUAUGUUGUAAAGAACUACUUAAACAAGUAGUGGCUAUUAAUGGGUUUAAUAGCAUGCUGCUGCUUUUCUUUGGUGGUAAAUGGAAGCACUUGGUGGGGAAGUAUUGGUCUGAAACUGAAUUUACAAAAAUUGUUCAAAAUUAAAUGCCUGAAAAAAGCCGAUGUAUUGCAACCAAUGACUAUCAUGUAGAGAAAGGACUAGUUAGAUAUCUGUUCCUUAAAUUGAUUCUGCUUUAUAAAUGCAAGAAUUAAUAAUGGUGUUGUGUACAUCUGCAAAUGGAAACCAAAACAGGUUAUGAUUUGAUAGCUCUGGUUAUCACUAGAAUUUGGAACAAGUGCUCCAACUGGAAAAACAGCUCAUUAGCUGCUAACUUGUGCUCUCACAAGCUUCAUAGCUUAGCAGAAAAAAAAUUGAUUACCUGGCAUUCAAGAUCAGUUCCAAAUAACUAUUCCUUAAAUAUGCUAUUUUAUACUUCAAAUAAUCUGUAUACAUUAAUUUCUUAAUUUCUUAGUCCAUGUAUGUACAGAUAAUGUCACUCUAUUGGCUAAAACCUUUAUCCUGUGAUAGAUAUCUCUUAUAUAUUAACACAAAUACCAUACUAUUGUUAAUAGGAUUGUAUCCCAACCUUCCAUCAAAUUGUUUACCAAAAUAAAUCUGUCAUUUUUUCUAUACACACUCCCACCUAAAAAAAAAAUGGUGUUUUUAUUCUGUAGUUUAUACCAGACUGAUAUGUAGUGCCCUAAAUCUCAAAGGUAUUUAUGGGUAAAAAGCAAGUUAAUAUAUGCAUAGUUUUACUUGUACAUUUAAUACAAAACUUCUAAUUAAAUUCUAAUUGAAUUUGACUUGUCAUACUUACACUGCUAGAUACUACGAACAUAUUAUGAUUUUUUUUUUAGUACAACUUAUGAAAAAUAAGUGCUUUAUUUCAUUUCUUCUAAAUUUCUUUUUCAUUUUUUUCUGGGUAGGUUAAUUUUUAAACAAAAACACUAUUUUGAAAACAAACAGUUGAAUCAAUUUCCCCCCUCGAAAUAUAGAAAUAAACCAUUUUUAUGGUCACAUUAAGACAUUAAUAUGUUAAAAAUGUUGGCAUGAAAAAAAUGGUGUUUUAAAAAAUCUCCCUUCUUCCUUUUUUUACAGUAUUUACCAAAUUUUCCUAGAGCUUUUGAAAAGCUUUCUUCCUGAGAAGACUUUUCUAUGGAAAAAUAUAUGUUUUAAUAUUUUCCCAGUUCUAAUUCCAAGAGUCCACAGGAAAUACAAGUUGUUUUUAGUUCGUAUCAGGUUCUACAAUGGUAUUGGGAGUUGAUGAAUGUAUAAAUUAUUAUGAUAAACUUUAGCCCUUCUUUAAUGUAAAACAUUCCUGUAACAAUUUGAUAGUUUUCAAAUAUACUCAUAAGGUGUAAUUAUCUACUGACAUAUUUGAAAGGAUAGUCAUUCUUUGUAACAUCAUGUGUUUGCUAUUUCCUACUCAUAGUGGACAUAGGUUUGUUAAUUUAAGUCACAAGAAAUCACUGUCCACUUCCCACCUUCUAAUCAGGGAAAAAACCUGAACAUGUUGAUCAAAUCCAGAUAAGGGAGACUAAUUUUUUUUUAAUUGAAUACACAGAAUUUUCAGAUUGUGCAGGAAAACUUGUUGAAUUCAUGAACAUUUGAAAAAGAAACCCACCCCAAUCCUUCUAUGAAUUGCAUGAAUUUUGCAUUUUAAUUUUCCCACUAUUUUCUAAACAGUCCCUGUGCUGGUUUAUCAGCUUCUGAUAGCUGUGUGAAUUUUGUAAUGCACCUUAUGAAUCUUUGUUAUUAUGAGGUGGAAAAAAAUUUGUUAAAAAUUAUUUAUGUAGAUCAUUGACCACUCCAUAAUUCUAUCCAAUUCCAUGAGCAUUUAAAUGUGCUCUGCUGCUCAUGUAUUUAAAUCUUUCACACUAUGUCUCUUUUAUUUUGGAUAAUGUUUAUUUAUAUGACUAACUGCAAAGUUAGAUGGGUAAAAUGAAAAAGAAAGGUGGGAUCGUGUUUUCCUCUUCUGUCUCUCUUUCUCUUUCUGUCUCUCACUCUCCCCCUCUCUUUUCUAAACAAGCUAAGAGUUUUUAUAAUUCAUCACCUGGCUGACAGAUGAGUUCUGCUGGAGAAUAUUAGAAAAUGUCUCAAAUCUCAUAUAUAUGCUAAUGGUAUGCUGAGACUGGUUGGUGGUAUGCCGGAGUUUUUAAUCUGUCUCGACCAGUGUGGAAAGUGGAGGAGACAAGUCAUUGCACUCGACAAUUUAUGAUCAAACAACUGAAUUGUAAAGGAAGAAGGACAUGCAGAAAAGGAGAGUAAUUUUCUGAUUUAACAGCGUUGUUACUACAAAUAAAGAAAUCUUGAUUUUGACUGCACUCGACAUUAAAUGAGUUUCCUGUGCCCUGCUCUGAAUUUUUCAUUUUCAGAUUUGUAUAAAGCACCCUGCUUAGAUACAAGUGACAGAUAAGGAGACGAUUGCAUAUGGAAAUCAAAUGUGUAUAAUAAAGCCAUCUUCUGUUUAUUAAAUAAACACAUGUAGAUGACUUCCGUGGAGAAUGCACUGAUAAUUCUUCAUUGUGUUCUAUUUUUUUUCCAAGUCACAAAGAAUCUUAUUUAACAACCACG